rnacentral:rRNA from 1 species
UACAGAGACUGCAAGCGUUAUUCGGAUUCAUUGGGCGUAAAGGGUGCGUAGGCGGCGCGGUAAGUCGGGUGUGAAAUCUCGGAGCUUAACUCCGAAACUGCAUUCGAUACUGCCGUGCUUGAGGACUGGAGAGGAAACUGGAAUUUACGGUGUAGCAGUGAAAUGCGUAGAGAUCGUAAGGAAGACCAGUGGCGAAGGCGAGUUUCUGGACGGUAACUGACGCUGAGGCACGAAGGCCAGGGGAGCAAACGGG